GUGUCAGCCGCCGCGGUAAGACGGAGGGUGCAAGCGUUGUUCGGAAUCACUGGGCGUAAAGCGCGUGUAGGCGGUCCGAUAAGUCGAAUGUGAAAGCCCGGGGCUCAACCUCGGAAGUGCAUUCGAAACUGUCGGGCUUGAGUACGGGAGAGGGAAGUGGAAUUCCUGGUGUAGAGGUGAAAUUCGUAGAUAUCAGGAGGAACACCGGUGGCGAAGGCGGCUUCCUGGACCGAUACUGACGCUGAGACGCGAAAGCGUGGGGAGCAAACAGGAUUAGAUACCCUGGUAGUCCACGCCGUAAACGGUGAGCACUAGGUGUAGCGGGUAUUGACCCCUGCUGUGCCGCAGCUAACGCAUUAAGUGCUCCGCCUGGGGAGUACGGUCGCAAGAUUAAA
rnacentral:rRNA from 1 species